rnacentral:lncRNA from 1 species
UGACCACAAAGUGAUGGGGCACACAAGUGGAACACUUACCAUUUCAUAAGGAAUGCUUCUACGAAGAUAUAACAUUUAACCUCUAUUGAGAGAAAAUAGGAGUUUUCCAGGGCAAGGGAGUAGGGGCAGGGUGGUAAACAGCAUUUUGGGAAUGGGGAUUUCAUGUACAAAUAUGCAGAGAAUGACACAGCCAAAUAUAUUCUAAACAUGAAAUAGAUAGAAGAUGCAAAGUUGGCAAAGCAUAAUGAAAAAUGAUAUGCAAAAGGUAUUUUGACUCAAUUUACAGAGUGCCAUUCAGAAGUUAACUGAUCAAUACAAAGGGUAUCUGACUCACUCUGUGUUUUCAAGAGACAGGCUUUCCAAAAACACUGAGAAUAGACGGAGAAGAUACACUGGGGGAAGAAAAGACCAGCAAACUGCACCAGUGGGCCCCUCAUCUUGUACGUGCAUCAGGCCCAAAAACUUAAUUUCACCUCUGACUGUGAUCAACAUAUUGAUGAAGACUGGCUAUGUGGAUGCUGGAAGAUGGGGAAAACUUGUUUCAAGCUGAACAUUAUCCUUGCCAUUAACUUGCUUAAAGAGGCUGGAUUCAUCUGGGCAGUUUUCACUGCUGCAAGUUAGGCACCUUAUUCCACAAGGUGCAAGUAGCAUGGAAGAGAAAAGCAAAGUUCAUAGGCAAAACUUCCAAGAACAAAGAUCUCUGAAUUGGGAUGAAAUUCUAACUGCCAGAUUUGCUCUCUAUAUCUCUCUUGAUAUGUUUUCUACUUACUAUGGAGUGACAGUUGUUGUGGAUGGGAGGAUUGAAAAUGGGAAGAACUAAUCAAAGAUAUAAUGUUGUGGAAAGGACUGAUAAGCUACACCAACCUGUGUCAUAUUAUUCUUUUUCUUGGAGCUCAGCAUGAGAGCAGGCAAUAACAGGAGAAUAACUUUAAAAAAAUCUUUAAAACCAGACUCAUUGUCUUCAUUCCUAGGACUUACAGAGACCAAAGCUCCUGAAGUACCAUCAUUCUACCAUGGAUACUGUGAAGUGGUACCACCGUAAAUCCAUGUCCUCUAAUGUCAGCGGACUAUCAGACCCAGUCAGAGAUGGGUGGAGGUGAUCCGUACAUUCCCUACAAAUUUUGGUGCCCAACGUGGGGCAUCCUUCACUGGCUGGAACACUGCUUGCUCGAAACUGCUGCACCUGAAAUCCUGGCCCUCUGACAAAAGGCCAGCAAAGGUCCCGGGAGCCAACUCCUUGAAAUUUAAGUAUCAAGGUAGACAGUGCCCCUAUGUUCCAGGCUCGCGGGAGUUACCCGAAGCGCCUUGCUCCAAGCCGUAAGUACCUGUUUGUCACAGAGAUAACGUUUUAUUUUUCCUUUGGAUAAAGGCAAUUAACCAACACAGGCGGCCACUCCAACGGUGAACUACCAAAAAUUGAAUACCAAACCAUGUUAACUCGUCUUACAUGAGAAGAUGCGUGUGCUUUGGCUACAUAAAAUGUGAGAUUUUUGUCUCUCUUUGCAAUCUCAUUAGUGGAUUGCCUGUAACACCCAUUCCGGUCUGGUUCGAUGCUUACAGAAUAAUACACCUUUUUUUUCUUUUCUACAUUUGUGGAGAUUUUCUAGGAUGGCAGGAGAUUUUUUUAAAAUUUUUUUUCUCGACAAUAUCAAUUUAUUUAGGUCCCUUACUUUUACUAGCCACCCCCUUCCCACUUGCUUCCAAUGGCAAAUUAGAAUGGUAACUUGCCCCUU